CACGCCUCUUACGUCUGGACGCUGGGUCGCCUCAGGAGGUCCAGUAAUCGCCGCCCAGAGGGAAGGAGGGUGGCGGUGCUAGGAGCUGCUAUGGUGCAGAGUUCCCCGGCAGAGCCGACCCGGACGCAGCGGUCGCGGCCAUGAAGGCGGGUGCCACAUCUAUGUGGGCUUCGUGCUGUGGGCUGUUGAAUGAAGUCAUGGGGACCGGAGCUGUCAGGGGCCAGCAGUCAAGAUUUGCAGGAGGCACCGGUCCAUUCAGAUUUACACCAAACUCUGAUUUUUCUGCUUACCCACCAGCACCUACAGAAGGGCCUAAUAUAGUUUGCAAAGCCUGUGGACUUUCAUUUUCAGUCUUUAGAAAAAAGCACGUAUGUUGUGACUGCAAGAAGGAUUUUUGCUCCGUUUGUUCAGUCUUGCAAGAAAAUCUCCGUAGAUGUUCCACUUGUCACUUACUACAAGAGACGGCCUUUCAGCGCCCUCAGUUAAUGCGACUCAAAGUGAAGGAUCUACGGCAGUAUCUCAUUCUUAGAAACAUCCCCAUCGAUACCUGCCGAGAGAAGGAAGACUUGGUAGAUCUCGUCCUGUGCCACCACGGGCUGGGCUCUGAGGACGACCUGGACACAAGCAGUCUGAACUCCUCAAGGUCCCAGACUUCUAGCUUUUUCACAAAUUCAUUCUUUUCAAACUAUACAGCCCCGUCUGCUACGGUGUCUUCAUUUCAGGGAGAGCUUCUGGGUCUAGAUCGGACCUUAGGAUCUGGAGCGCGGGCACAGGUGCAAAGUGAAAUAGCUUCAGCAAACACAGAAGAUGAUGAGGAGGAGGAGGAAGAUGAUGAUGAUGACGACGACGACGACGAUGAUGAUGAUGAUGAUGAUGAUGAGGAAAACUUGGAGGAUCGGACUCCUGGCCUCGCUAAAAAGGGAGUGAGAGCUUCUCUGUCUGACUUGUCAAGCCUUGACGAUGUGGAAGCGAUGAGCGUGCGCCAGCUGAAGGAAAUCCUGGCUCGGAAUUUUGUCAACUACUCUGGCUGUUGUGAAAAGUGGGAGCUAGUAGAGAAAGUAAACCGAUUAUACAAGGAGAAUGAAGAAAACCAAAAGUCAUAUGGCGAGCGGCUGCAGCUGCAGGAUGAGGAAGACGAUAGCCUGUGUCGGAUCUGCAUGGACGCUGUCAUCGACUGCGUCCUACUCGAGUGCGGACACAUGGUCACCUGCACCAAGUGUGGCAAGCGCAUGAGCGAGUGCCCCAUCUGCCGCCAGUACGUGGUGCGUGCUGUGCACGUGUUCAAGUCCUGAGGCUGGGCCCCCCCAACCCCUGCGGACGCUCGCCCCCCCACCCCCAGUCUUGGGGCCCAGAUGUCCCAGUGCACUGUAGGGACUGGGGACUCCCUGUUGAAGAGCCGGAGCUAUAUUAGAAAACUAUUUUCACUACUAACGGUGGAAUGGAAAAACUCAUCCUAAGUUGUGGCAACACUGGUCCAGGCCAUGGGCCAGUCAGCCUCAGGACAUGCUGCUUCCAGGUCCUGCCAGGCUUCUCUCAUUACUAAAUGCUGACGUCAGACUGCUUAUGGCAUCAGCUCCUGCUCCCUUUGUAGGACACUUCUCCUGUUCUUAUUUCUCCUUCAUCCUAUUUUUAACUGAAUCUACUCAGAUGUUGGAAAAUUCUGUUCUCUAGAGGAGAUCACUGUCUGCAAGCUGCCGACAUGGUACACAUCGGGCAGUGGUACUUCUGAAUGUUCCUGUUAUUAGUUGUGUGUAUUUUCAGUGCUACUAUUUGAUGAAUGUCUAGCUCUAAUCAGGGUGGUUUUUUUGGUUGAGUUGAGACCAACUGUGGAUUCAUUCUAAUUGUUUAUGGGCAGCCCCUCCUUUACCUCCUCUCUUGGCAGACCUGUGUGCUCCUGGAAACAUUACGGAGAAACGGGGCCCUCUUAACACUGAGAUUCUACCUGGAAACCACUGUUACCUCUACAACUGCCAAGGAAGGGAAUGCCUUUACUGGACAGCAGGGUAAUUCUUACUUGGAGCUUCACCGAACUCAGGAUGCCAAAUUGAAACUUGGGUUGGCCACGUGAAUGAUUAGGCUUGUAAAGUUUACUUCUCACUGGAAUCUAUGUCUGCCGCCUGGGGAAGUUGCCUCAUAACCAAGUGCCUUCAGCCAGCCCAGCCCAGGGUUACCAAUGCAGGAUGUGGCUCCCUGAGUUGCACUCAGUAGAGGAAAUAGACCCCAGUCCUGCCUUGGCAGUGGAGAUACCAAGUGCCCGUGGACAUUAUUUUGCCCAGCUGUGGUCAGAGGCACCAUUACAGGAAUGUCUUCUUGAUAAAAGGCCGCCUUAGAAAUGGUCCAGAAAGCAGUGCAGUUUUGAUUCAGAAAGACCCGAGGAAUGCGCCCGGCUCACUCAUCUCUGAAACGGGCGGCAGAACGGCUGCUCCCUCGGCCAGACUUGCAAAAUGGAAUCGUGCUGCGGUCUGUUGUUCCAAGUUCCAAAUGGAAAAUAAAAACCCUAGUUUUUGUAAA